rnacentral:rRNA from 1 species
CAGUCGCCACGGUAAUACGAAGGGUGCAAGCGUUACUCGGAAUUACUGGGCGUAAAGCGUGCGUAGGUGGUGGUUUAAGUCCGUUGUGAAAGCCCUGGGCUCAACCUGGGAAUUGCAGUGGAUACUGGGUCACUAGAGUGUGGUAGAGGAUAGUGGAAUUUCCGGUGUAGCAGUGAAAUGCGUAGAGAUCGGAAGGAACAUCCGUGGCGAAGGCGACUAUCUGGGCCAACACUGACACUGAGGCACGAAAGCGUGGGGAGCAAACAGGAUUAGAUACCCCCGUAGUCCCUGUCUCUUAUAC